UACGUAGGGUGCAAGCGUUGUCCGGAAUUAUUGGGCGUAAAGAGCUCGUAGGCGGUCUGUUGCGUCCGCUGUGAAAACUCGGGGCUUAACCCCGAGCCUGCAGUGGAUACGGGCAGACUAGAGGUAGGUAGGGGAGAAUGGAAUUCCCGGUGUAGCGGUGAAAUGCGCAGAUAUCGGGAGGAACACCGGUGCGAAGGCGGUUCUCUGGGCCGUAACUGACGCUGAGGAGCGAAAGCAUGGGGAGCGAACAGG
rnacentral:rRNA from 1 species